UUAAAUUGAAGAGUUUGAUCAUGGCUCAGAUUGAACGCUGGCGGCAGGCCUAACACAUGCAAGUCGAACGGUAACAGGAAACAGCUUGCUGUUUCGCUGACGAGUGGCGGACGGGUGAGUAAUGUCUGGGAAACUGCCUGAUGGAGGGGGAUAACUACUGGAAACGGUAGCUAAUACCGCAUAACGUCGCAAGACCAAAGAGGGGGACCUUCGGGCCUCUUGCCAUCGGAUGUGCCCAGAUGGGAUUAGCUUGUUGGUGGGGUAACGGCUCACCAAGGCGACGAUCCCUAGCUGGUCUGAGAGGAUGACCAGCCACACUGGAACUGAGACACGGUCCAGACUCCUACGGGAGGCAGCAGUGGGGAAUAUUGCACAAUGGGCGCAAGCCUGAUGCAGCCAUGCCGCGUGUAUGAAGAAGGCCUUCGGGUUGUAAAGUACUUUCAGCGGGGAGGAAGGGAGUAAAGUUAAUACCUUUGCUCAUUGACGUUACCCGCAGAAGAAGCACCGGCUAACUCCGUGCCAGCAGCCGCGGUAAUACGGAGGGUGCAAGCGUUAAUCGGAAUUACUGGGCGUAAAGCGCACGCAGGCGGUUUGUUAAGUCAGAUGUGAAAUCCCCGGGCUCAACCUGGGAACUGCAUCUGAUACUGGCAAGCUUGAGUCUCGUAGAGGGGGUAGAAUUCCAGGUGUAGCGGUGAAAUGCGUAGAGAUCUGGAGGAAUACCGGUGGCGAAGGCGGCCCCCUGGACGAAGACUGACGCUCAGGUGCGAAAGCGUGGGGAGCAAACAGGAUUAGAUACCCUGGUAGUCCACGCCGUAAACGAUGUCGACUUGGAGGUUGUGCCCUUGAGGCGUGGCUUCCGGAGCUAACGCGUUAAGUCGACCGCCUGGGGAGUACGGCCGCAAGGUUAAAACUCAAAUGAAUUGACGGGGGCCCGCACAAGCGGUGGAGCAUGUGGUUUAAUUCGAUGCAACGCGAAGAACCUUACCUGGUCUUGACAUCCACGGAAGUUUUCAGAGAUGAGAAUGUGCCUUCGGGAACCGUGAGACAGGUGCUGCAUGGCUGUCGUCAGCUCGUGUUGUGAAAUGUUGGGUUAAGUCCCGCAACGAGCGCAACCCUUAUCCUUUGUUGCCAGCGGUCCGGCCGGGAACUCAAAGGAGACUGCCAGUGAUAAACUGGAGGAAGGUGGGGAUGACGUCAAGUCAUCAUGGCCCUUACGACCAGGGCUACACACGUGCUACAAUGGCGCAUACAAAGAGAAGCGACCUCGCGAGAGCAAGCGGACCUCAUAAAGUGCGUCGUAGUCCGGAUUGGAGUCUGCAACUCGACUCCAUGAAGUCGGAAUCGCUAGUAAUCGUGGAUCAGAAUGCCACGGUGAAUACGUUCCCGGGCCUUGUACACACCGCCCGUCACACCAUGGGAGUGGAUUGCAAAAGAAGUAGGUAGCUUAACCUUCGGGAGGGCGCUUACCACUUUGUGAUUCAUGACUGGGGUGAAGUCGUAACAAGGUAACCGUAGGGGAACCUGCGGUUGGAUCACCUCCUUACCUUAAAGAAGC
rnacentral:rRNA from 1 species